rnacentral:rRNA from 1 species
AGAGUUUGAUCCUGGCUCAGAACGAACGCUGGCGGCAUGCCUAACACAUGCAAGUCGAACGAACCCUUCGGGGUUAGUGGCGCACGGGUGCGUAACGCGUGGGAACCUGCCUUUAGGUUCGGAAUAACAGUUAGAAAUGACUGCUAAUACCGGAUAAUGUCUUCGGACCAAAGAUUUAUUGCCUUUAGAUGGGCCCGCGUUGGAUUAGAUAGUUGGUGGGGUAAUGGCCUACCAAGUCGACGAUCCAUAGCUGGUCUGAGAGGAUGAUCAGCCACACUGGGACUGAGACACGGCCCAGACUCCUACGGGAGGCAGCAGUGGGGAAUAUUGGACAAUGGGCGAAAGCCUGAUCCAGCAAUGCCGCGUGAGUGAUGAAGGCCUUAGGGUUGUAAAGCUCUUUUACCAGGGAUGAUAAUGACAGUACCUGGAGAAUAAGCUCCGGCUAACUCCGUGCCAGCAGCCGCGGUAAUACGGAGGGAGCUAGCGUUGUUCGGAAUUACUGGGCGUAAAGCGCACGUAGGCGGCUUUUCAAGUCAGGGGUGAAAUCCCGGGGCUCAACCCCGGAACUGCCCUUGAAACUGGAUGGCUAGAAUACUGGAGAGGUGAGUGGAAUUCCGAGUGUAGAGGUGAAAUUCGUAGAUAUUCGGAAGAACACCAGUGGCGAAGGCGACUCACUGGACAGUUAUUGACGCUGAGGUGC